rnacentral:tRNA from 1 species
GGACAGGUGUCCGAGCGGUUUAAGGAGCGCGCCUGGAGAGCGCGUGGGUGUAACAGCCUCGUGGGUUCGAAUCCCACCCUGUCCGCCA